rnacentral:rRNA from 1 species
GUUGGCUUGGAAGCAGCCAUUCAUUUAAAGAGUGCGUAACAGCUCACUAGUCGAGGAGUCCGGCGUGGAUAAUACUCGGGCAUAAACUGUUUACCGAAGCUAUGGAUGUAGAAAUACAUGGUAGGGGAGCAUUCCAACGGCGUCGAAGGUGAAGGAUGACCUUUGCUGGAGCUUUUGGAAACGCAAAUGUAGGUAUAAGUAACGAUAAAGGAGGUGAGAAACCUCCUCGCCGAAAGACUAAGGUUUCCUGAUCAACGUUAAUCGGAUCAGGGUAAGUCGGGACCUAAGGUUAAGCCGAACGGCGAUACCGAUGGAAGAAUGGUUUAAUAUUCCCAUACUACUUUAUGGAGCGAUGUGGAGACGGAGAAGUGAAAGUCCUGCCAUCUGACGGAAUAGGUGGUUGAAGAGUGUAGAUGUAGAUUCCUGUAGGCAAAUCCGCAGGGAGAGUCGACCUUGAUAGUAUGCCGCGUGCUUGCACAAGGCAAAAUGGACGUAAUCAGGCUCCCAAGAAAAUCCGCUAAGCAUAUUCAUAAAGUACCCGUACCGUAAACGGACACACGUAGUUGGGUUGAAAAUACUGAGGCGCUCGAGUGAUUCACGGUUAAGGAACUAGGCAAAUUGACCCUGUAACUUCGGGAUAAAGGGUCCCUACUGAGAGGUAGGGCGCAGAGAAUAGGUCCAGGCAACUGUUUAACAAAAACACAUGGCUGUGCGAAAUAGAAAUAUGAAGUAUACAGCCUGACACCUGCCCGGUGCUGGAAGGUUAAGAGGAGAUGUCAUCGCAAGAGAAGCAUUGAAUUGAAGCCCCAGUAAACGGCGGCCGUAACAAUAACGGUCCUAAGGUAGCGAAAUUCCUUGUCGGGUAAGUUCCGACCUGCACGAAUGGUGUAAUGAUCCGGACGCUGUCUCAACCAUGAGCUCAGUGAAAUUGUAGUAUCGGUGAAGAUGCCGAUUACCCGCGAUGGGACGAAAAGACCCCGUGAACCUUUACUAUAGCUUUACAUUGAAUUUGGGCAAUCGAUGUGUAGGAUAGGCCGGAGACCGUGAAGCAGGUACGCCAGUAUUUGUGGAGUCGCCGUUGAAAUACGGCCCUUUGGUUGUUUGAGUUCUAACCCGCAGAAGCGGGGACACUGUAUGGUGGGUAGUUUGACUGGGGUGGUCGCCUCCAAAAGAGUAACGGAGGCUUCUAAAGGUACCCUCAGACCGAUUGGUAACCGGUCGCAGAGUGUAAUGGCAUAAGGGUGCUUGACUGGGAGACAGACAAGUCGAUCAGGUAGGAAACUAGAGCAUAGUGAUCCGGUGGUUCCGCAUGGAAGGGCCAUCGCUCAAAGGAUAAAAGGUACUCCGGGGAUAACAGGCUGAUCCCUCCCAAGA